GAGGGAAACCGAGUCUUAACCGGGCGUUAAGUUGCAGGGUAUAGACCCGAAACCCGGUGAUCUAGCCAUGGGCAGGUUGAAGGUUGGGUAACACUAACUGGAGGACCGAACCGACUAAUGUUGAAAAAUUAGCGGAUGACCUGUGGCUGGGGGUGAAAGGCCAAUCAAACCGGGAGAUAGCUGGUUCUCCCCGAAAGCUAUUUAGGUAGCGCCUCGUGAAUUCAUCUCCGGGGGUAGAGCACUGUUUCGGCUAGGGGGCCAUCCCGGCUUACCAACCCGAUGCAAACUGCGAAUACCGGAGAAUGUUAUCACGGGAGACACACGGCGGGUGCUAACGUCCGUCGUGAAGAGGGAAACAACCCAGACCGCCAGCUAAGGUCCCAAAGUCAUGGUUAAGUGGGAAACGAUGUGGGAAGGCCCAGACAGCCAGGAUGUUGGCUUAGAAGCAGCCAUCAUUUAAAGAAAGCGUAAUAGCUCACUGGUCGAGUCGGCCUGCGCGGAAGAUGUAACGGGGCUAAACCAUGCACCGAAGCUGCGGCAGCGACGCUGAUGCGU
rnacentral:rRNA from 1 species